rnacentral:rRNA from 1 species
UAGAGUUUGAUCCUGGCUCAGAUUGAACGCUGGCGGCAUGCCUUACACAUGCAAGUCGAACGGCAGCACGGGAGCAAUCCUGGUGGCGAGUGGCGAACGGGUGAGUAAUAUAUCGGAACGUGCCCAGUCGUGGGGGAUAACGUAGCGAAAGCUACGCUAAUACCGCAUACGAUCUAUGGAUGAAAGCGGGGGAUCGCAAGACCUCGCGCGAUUGGAGCGGCCGAUAUCAGAUUAGCUAGUUGGUGGGGUAAAGGCCCACCAAGGCGACGAUCUGUAGCUGGUCUGAGAGGACGACCAGCCACACUGGAACUGAGACACGGUCCAGACUCCUACGGGAGGCAGCAGUGGGGAAUUUUGGACAAUGGGCGCAAGCCUGAUCCAGCAAUGCCGCGUGCAGGACGAAGGCCUUCGGGUUGUAAACUGCUUUUGUACGGAACGAAAAGGUCUGCCCUAAUACGGC